AUGGAAUCUAUGAUGUGAUCAAGUAAAUAAGAAUUGUGAAACAGAAAAUAUAGUAGUUGCUGAGAGCUAUAUCACCGCUUCUUAUUGAAACCUACCACGGAGAUGCAAGUAUGUCUUGCCGAGUACGUUCUCGUUACAAACGUUUAGAGGGUUAAAAAAUUUUAUUUUAACUGAACUAAGGUGGUACCACGUCAAUUAUGCGCUAAGACGUCCUUAAU
rnacentral:ncRNA from 1 species